rnacentral:rRNA from 1 species
GACGAACGCUGGCGGCGUGCUUAACACAUGCAAGUCGAACGGAAAGGCCUCUUUCGGGGGGUACUCGCGUGGCGAACGGGUGAGUAACACGUGAGUAAACUGCCCUUGACUUUGGGAUAACUUCAGGAAACUGGGGCUCAUAUAGCAGAGGAGAUCCUGCUGCACGGUGGGGGUUGGGAAGUUUCGGGGGUUGGGGGUGGACUCGCGGCUUAUCUGCUUGUUGGUGGGGUGGUGUCUUUCCAAGGCUUUGACGGGUAGCCGGCCUGGGAGGGGGACCGGGCACAUUUGGACUUGGAUACGGCCCAGACUCCUACGGGAGGCAACAGUGGGGAAUAUUGCACAAUGGGUGGAAGCCUGAUGCAGCAACGCCGGGGGCGGGAUGACGGCCUUCGGGUUGGAAACCGCUUUCGCUCAGGACGAAGCUUUGUGUGACGGUAGUGGGUAAAGAAGCACCGGCUAACUACGUG